GGCUCAGUGGUCUAGUAGUAUGAUACUCGCUUCGGGUGCAGACCCGUCAUGUGAAGAAACACGUGAUCAAUUGUGAGUGGUCUCGGGUUCAAUUCCCGACUGAGCCC